rnacentral:rRNA from 1 species
UGGGGAAUAUUGCACAAUGGGCGCAAGCCUGAUGCAGCCAUGCCGCGUGUGUGAAGAAGGCCUUCGGGUUGUAAAGCACUUUCAGCGGGGAGGAAGGCGAUAAGGUUAAUAACCUUGUCGAUUGACGUUACCCGCAGAAGAAGCACCGGCUAACUCCGUGCCAGCAGCCGCGGUAAUACGGAGGGUGCAAGCAUUAAUCGGAAUUACUGGGCGUAAAGCGCACGCAGGCGGUUUGUUAAGUCAGAUGUGAAAUCCCCGGGCUCAACCUGGGAACUGCAUCUGAUACUGGCAAGCUUGAGGCUCGUAGAGGGGGGUAGAAUUCCAGGUGUAGCGGUGAAAUGCGUAGAGAUCUGGAGGAAUACCGGUGGCGAAGGCGGCCCCCUGGACAAAGACUGACGCUCAGGUGCGAAAGCGUGGGGAGCAAACAGG